rnacentral:lncRNA from 1 species
UGGGUGUUUAUAGAAGCUUUAUCCAUAAUUGCCAAAACUUGGAACCAACAAGAUGUUGGACUUUGGACUGUGAGUGAUAACAGUGUGUUGAUGUAGGUUCAAUCCAUUGCAACAAAUGGAUUCCUUUGUUUGUUAGGGAGUGUUGAUGGGGGAGGGGCUGAGCAUGUGGCAGGGGGCAGGAAGUUUAUGAGAAAUCUCUGUAUGUUAUGCUCAAUUUUACUGUGAAUCUAAAACUGCUCUGAGUGUUCCCAUUGUGGCACAGUGGAAACGAAUCCAACUAGGAACCUUGAGGUUGCGGGUUUGGUCCCUGGCCUCGCUCAGUGGGUUAAGGAUCUGGCAUUGCCAUGAGCUGUGGUGUAGGUCACAGAUGUGGCUCAGAUCCUGCAUUGCUAUGGCUGUGGCGUAGGCCAGCAGCUUUUGCUCCAAUUUGACCCCUAGCCUGGGAACUUCCAUAUGCCACAGGUGCAGCCCUAAAAAAGCUAAAUAAAUAAAUAAAUAAAUAAAUCUGCCCUGAAAAAUAAAGUCUGCUUAGCAGUUCUCUUGUGGCACAGCGAGUAAAGGACCUGGUGUUGUCACUGCUAUGUUGAACGUUCAGUCCCUAGCUGGGGAAUUUCCACAUGUUGCCAGAAGAAAAAAAAAAAAAAAAAAAGUCUAUUUAAAAAGAAAAACAUAUCAUUGCCAUAAAUAGAAAGUGAGUAAUUUUUUUUCAUAAAAGGAGAGGAAGAGUUCCCGUCGUGGCUCAGUGGUUAACAAAUCUGACUAGGAACCAUGAGGUUGCAGGUUCGAUCCCUGGCGUUGCCCAGUGGGUUAAGGAUCCAGCGUUGCCGUGAGCUGUGGUGUAGGUCGAAGAUGGGGCUCGGAUCCCGUGUUGCUCCACUGGCCUACACCACAGUCACAGCAACACCAGAUCUAAGCCAAGUCUGCGACGUACAAUGCCGGAUCCUUAACCCACUGAGCAAGGCCAGGGACCGAACCUGAAACGUGAUGGUUCCCAGUCAGAUUCAUUUCCACUGCGCCACAAUGGGAACUCCUGUGUUGGUUUGUUUUUGUUUUUGUUUUUAAUUUUUAAAAAAGUUUGUUUUUUAUUUGAAUAAAAUUGGCAAGGGUAUGGAGAAAGGGGUACUUGAGUAUGAAGUUGGUGGACAAGUACAUCAGUAGCAUCUCUUUGAAGGACAGUUUGUCAGUAUCUAUCAAAAUUGCAAAAGUAUAUGCCUUUGAACUCAGGAAUCCUGACAGGAAGAGGCAUUCAUGUGCAGGAAAAUGAGAGUACAAGGUUCUUUGCUGCUUCACUGUAAUAUCCAAAGGUUGGCAUCAACCUCAAUGUCCCUCAUAGGAGCUGAUUAAAUCUAUCAGGACCCAUCCCUGCAACGGGAUAUUGUGCAGUCUCCUAAAAUAACAAAGCAGUUGUUUACAUACCGAUGCAGAAGAUCUUCGAGAUUCAUUGUUAGAUUAAAAAACAAGGUGCCUAACAGUGUUUGUAGCAUGUUACCACUUCUGGGUUUUUAUUUAAUAUUUAUAUGCUGACAUUUGCAUAGCAUGUCUCUGGAAGGAAAUAUAAUAAAUUAGGAAGAGCCAUUGCCUUUCGUGAGAGGAGCUGAAAUUUGAAAUGGAAAUUUUUGAAAUUUUUACCUCAUCCCUGUGUUACCUAUUUAAAUAAGUGUAAAAAAAAGGGUAAAUGACUGCCUCUAGAGAACUGAAUAGGGAGUAGGAAGGGUGGAAUGGGAUGGUGGCUUUAAAAUAGAUAUUAUAUGCAUGUAACGUAUCUUACAUAUGUGUAUAAUAUUGAUUUACAAAUGUUUCAACUACC